rnacentral:rRNA from 1 species
CCUACGGGAGGCUGCAGUGGGGAAUAUUGGGCAAUGGACGCAAGCCUGACCCAGCAACGCCGCGUGAAGGAAGAAGGCUUUCGGGUUGUAAACUUCUUUUAAGGGGGAAGAGCAGAAGACGGUACCCCUUGAAUAAGCCACGGCUAACUACGAGCCAGCAGCCGCGGUAAUACGGAGGUGGCAAGCGUUGUCCGGAUUUACUGGGUGUAAAGGGCGUGCAGGCGGAGAGACAAGUCAGAUGUGAAAUCCACGGGCUCAACCAGUGAACUGCAUUUGAAACUGUUUCCCUUGAGUGUCGGAGAGGUAGGCGGAAUUCCUGGUGUAGCGGUGAAAUGCGUAGAUAUUAGGAAGAACACCAGUGGCGAAGGCGGAUUACUGGGCGAUGACUGACGGUGAGGCGCGAAAGCGUGGGGAGCAAACAGGAUUAGAUACCCGUGUAGUC